UACGAAGGGGGCUAGCGUUGCUCGGAAUUACUGGGCGUAAAGGGCGCGUAGGCGGCCCUCUAAGUCAGACGUGAAAUCCCUCGGCUCAACCGGGGAACUGCGUCUGAGACUGGAAGGCUUGAAUUCGGGAGAGGGAUGUGGAAUUCCAGGUGUAGCGGUGAAAUGCGUAGAUAUCUGAAGGAACAUCAGUGGCGAAAGCGACUUCCUGGACCAAUACUGACGCUCAUGUGCGAAAGCGUGGGGAGCAAACAGG
rnacentral:rRNA from 1 species